rnacentral:tRNA from 1 species
AUUCAAGUAGCUUAAUUGAAGAGCAUAAUAUUGAAGAUAUUAAGGAGGUUUAUGACUCUUGGAUA